rnacentral:misc_RNA from 1 species
UCAAACUUGGUCAUUUAGAGGAAGUAAAAGUCGUAACAAGGUAACCGUAGGUGAACCUGCGGUUGGAUCAUUAAUAAAUUUAAUGAAGAGACUCGCAAGAGUUUUCUUUGUACACCUGUGAACAGUUUUUGUCUCUGGUGAGUUUACGCUCACCAAUUUUAAACUUGAGAUUUAUAUUUGACACAAAGUUAUUUAUAAUAAUAAACAACUUUUGGCAACGGAUCUCUUGGCUCUCGCAUCGAUGAAGAACGCAGC